CCUACGGGAGGCAGCAGUGGGGAAUAUUGCACAAUGGGCGCAAGCCUGAUGCAGCCAUGCCGCGUGUGUGAAGAAGGCCUUCGGGUUGUAAAGCACUUUCAGUAGGGAGGAAAGGUUAAGUGUUAAUAGCACUUAGCUGUGACGUUACCUACAGAAGAAGGACCGGCUAACUCCGUGCCAGCAGCCGCGGUAA
rnacentral:rRNA from 1 species